CUACGGGUUGCUGCAGUGGGGAAUAUUGCACAAUGGGCGCAAGCCUGAUGCAGCCAUGCCGCGUGUAUGAAGAAGGCCUUCGGGUUGUAAAGUACUUUCAGCGGGGAGGAAGGGAGUAAAGUUAAUACCUUUGCUCAUUGACGUUACCCGCAGAAGAAGCACCGGCUAACUCCGUGCCAGCAGCCGCGGUAAUACGGAGGGUGCAAGCGUUAAUCGGAAUUACUGGGCGUAAAGCGCACGCAGGCGGUUUGUUAAGUCAGAUGUGAAAUCCCCGGGCUCAACCUGGGAACUGCAUCUGAUACUGGCAAGCUUGAGUCUCGUAGAGGGGGGUAGAAUUCCAGGUGUAGCGGUGAAAUGCGCAGAGAUCUGGAGGAAUACCGGUGGCGAAGGCGGCCCCCGGGACGAAGACUGACGCUCAGGUGCGAAAGCGUGGGGAGCAAACAGGAUUAGAUACCCCAGUAGUC
rnacentral:rRNA from 1 species